GAAUAUUGCGCAAUGGGGGCAACCCUGACGCAGCCAUGCCGCGUGUGUGAAGAAGGCCUUCGGGUUGUAAAGCACUUUCAAUGGGGAAGAAAAGCGUAGCGUUAAUAGCGUUGCGCCGUGACGUUACCCAUAGAAGAAGCACCGGCUACCUCCGUGCCAGCAGCCGCGGUAAUACGGAGGGUGCGAGCGUUAAUCGGAAUUACUGGGCGUAAAGCGCGCGUAGGCGGUUUGUUAAGUCAGCUGUGAAAGCCCCGGGCUUAACCUGGGAACUGCAGUUGAUACUGGCCGACUAGAGUACGAGAGAGGGAGGUAGAAUUCCAUGUGUAGCGGUGAAAUGCGUAGAUAUAUGGAGGAAUACCGGUGGCGAAGGCGGCCUCCUGGCUCGAUACUGACGCUGAGGUGCGAAAGCGUGGGGAUCAAACAGG
rnacentral:rRNA from 1 species